AACGAACGCUGGCGGCGUGGCUAAGACAUGCAAGUCGAACGGACUAUCCAAUUGAGUAAUCGAGAAGAUAGUUAGUGGCGAAAGGGUUAGUAAUGGAUAGGUAACGUACCUUGUGCUUCGGGAUAGCGUCGUUCGCCUUCGGGCGAACUACCGAAAGGGGCGGUAAUACCGAAAAUAUCACUUGUCGAUGGACAAGUGCUCAAAGAUUUAUCGGCACAGGAGCGACCUAUCUCCUAUCAGCUUGUUGGUGAGGUAAUGGCUCACCAAGGCCGUGACGGGUAGCGGGACUGAGAGGUUGGCCCGCAACAUCGGGACUGAGACACUGCCCGGACCUCCACGGAGGGCUGCAGUAACGAAUCUUGCGCAAUGGGCGAAAGCCUGACGCAGCGACGCCGCGUGCGGGAAGAAGUCCCUCGGGAUGUAAACCGCUGUCAGGGCUAAGAAAGUCCACUUCGGUGGAUUGAUCUAACCCAAAGGAAGUCACGGCUAACUUCGUGCCAGCAGCCGCGGUAAGACGAAGGUGGCAAGCGUUGUUCGGUGUCACUGGGCUUAAAGCGUGUGUAGGCGGAAAAGUAAGCGUCCUGUGAAAGCCCCCGGCUUAACCGGGGAACUGCUCGACGAACUGCUUUUCUUGAGGCAAGUAGGGGUGCAUGGAACUCUUGGUGGAGCGGUGGAAUGCGUAGAUAUCAAGAGGAACGCCGGCGGUGAAAACGGUGCACUGGGCUUGUCCUGACGCUGAGACACGAAAGCGUGGGGAGCGAACGGGAUUAGAUACCCCGGUAGUCCACGCCGUAAACGAUGUCUACUAGGUUGUGGAAGUUCUGACACUUGCACAGCCGAAGCAAAAGUGUUAAGUAGACCGCCUGGGGAGACGGCCGCAAGGCU
rnacentral:rRNA from 1 species